UACGGAGGUGGCAAGCGUUACUCGGAUUUACUGGGUGUAAAGGGUAUGUAGGCGGGCUAGCAAGUCAAAUGUGAAAUCCCUUGGCUCAACCAAGGAAGUGCGUUUGAAACUGCUUGUCUUGAGUGUGGAAGAGGAGAGCGGAAUUCCCGGUGUAAGGGUGAAAUCUGUAGAGAUCGGGAGGAACACCUGUGGCGAAAGCGGCUCUCUGGUCCGCAACUGACGCUGAAAUACGAAAGCUUGGGGAGCAAACAGGAUUAGAUACCCCUGUA
rnacentral:rRNA from 1 species